rnacentral:rRNA from 1 species
CCUACGGGGGGCUGCAGUGAGGAAUAUUGGUCAAUGGGCGAGAGCCUGAACCAGCCAAGUCGCGUGAGGGAGUACUGCCCUAUGGGUUGUAAACCUCUUUUGUCGGGGAGCAAAAGCCGGACGUGUCCGGCUGUGAGAGUACCCGAAGAAAAAGCAUCGGCUAACUCCGUGCCAGCAGCCGCGGUAAUACGGAGGAUGCGAGCGUUAUCCGGAUUUAUUGGGUUUAAAGGGGGCGCAGGCGGAUUUUUAAGUCAGCGGUAAAAUCGUGGGGCUCAACCCCAUCCAGCCGUUGAAACUGGGGAUCUAGAGUGGGCGAGAGGUAUGCGGAAUUCGUGGUGUAGCGGUGAAAUGCUUAGAUAUCACGCAGAACUCCGAUUGCGAAGGCAGCAUACCGGCGCUCAACUGACGCUCAUGCACGAAAGUGUGGGUAUCGAACAGGAUUAGAUACCCCGGUAGUC